GAGCCGUGUGCGUUGAGAGGCGCAAGCACGGUUCUGGGAGAGGUCUGUGCAAACCUGUCGUAGAAAUACGAUAAGGCGGCACUUUCCUACUCUAC
rfam:Clostridiales bacterium 52_15 Ley3_66761_scaffold_33186, whole genome shotgun sequence.